rnacentral:tRNA from 1 species
UGAGAGUGUUGCUCAGUGGUAGAGCACUUGCCUAGCAUGUGCUCGGCCUGGGUUCAGUCCCCAGCACCACAA